rnacentral:lncRNA from 10 species
CUGUGGUGGAAAAGCAUUCAGAGGUGUGGGCUGAAGGCUUCUCUUUCCACAGUCCCUUUGAAGAUCCCAUGGAAGUAAGCACCCCUUUGAGGAACAAGGUGGCCCAAGGCCUGGCUUCACAUGCAGGCUCUUGUGUCCCAGUGGGUCCUCUCUGUGCCUGGUAUAGCCGACUGCUUCACACAUCUUACCCGGUUUCCUCUCCUCCACCACCCAAGCUCCUCCUCGACCCCCUUGCUCAGCUGUCCUUAGGACAGCAAGAUCCCCAGCCCUUGGAAAAGCCCUAUCUCCACUGCUUGGAGAGGGAGUUGGGUUCAGGUCUUCUAACCACAGAAGAACAGAGAACCUGAGGCAGGAGGGAAUCCCUUCCCUUGCUGGGUCUCUUGGCACAGCCCAUCUAGGGGUCUGGGUCAGGGUCCAGGUAUCCUCUACCCUCCUUGAGGACCUGAGUUUUCAGGUCCCCGGGGUUUGUCAACGUAGAGUCUUUCCCACUGUUCAUCUGGGAACUGUAGGAAUAUCCCAUGGGGCCCUCUCUUACUCAUUAGAGACACCCAGAAAGUACUCCUGCAGAAACUGGGUGCAGUGUACCAGACCACAAUAAUUCUAAUUACAGGAUGUGGAGGUCAGAUACGUUUUGUGACUAUUUUCUCUCUGUCUGUGGCUUGCUUGCCUUUUCACUUUCUUAGUGGUAUCUUUUGAUGAGAAGGUAUGGCUAAUGUUGAUGAAGUCUAAUUUAUCAUGUCUUUUAUAUAUAUUUUUUCAGUGUCCUACUUGUUGGUAGGCUAAUCUUUACCUACAGAGUAUCCUUGAAAUGCUUUAUAUCUUUAACUUUUAAGUUUUGGUGUAUAAUGCACCUCAAAUUACUUUUGUAUGUAGUGUGAGGGAGAAUAACAUUGUUGGUCUCCCCCACCUCCAUAUGAAAGUCCAUUAAUUGAAAUGAUUUAUUUUCUUCUAUUGAACUGCUUUCAUUGAAAGCUCAUUUAUUGACUGUAUGGCUGUGGAUCAGUUUCAGGUCUCUUAACUCAGUCUGUUUAUCUAUUUGUCCCUCCUGAUGCCUUGUCUGUAAUAGCUUAUAGUAAGCCUUGAAGUCAGAUAGUACAAGUCCUUGUUCUUUUGCACACAUUGCAAUAACUGGGUCUGGAUUUAGUCCCGUUAGUCUGAGUGGGACUAAUGCCACUAUAAAAGGGACCCCAGGGAGCUCUCUCUGCCCCCUGAGGAUACAAUGAGAAGGUGGCAGUCUACAACCAGAAAAAAGUCCCUCAUCAUAACCCUACCAUGUUGGCACCUUGAUCUCGGACUUCCAACCUCCAGAACUGUGAGAAAUAAAUUUCUGUCGUGAAUUAGCCACCCAGUUUAUGGUAUAUAGUUAUGGAAGCCCGAACUAAGACAGAGAUGGAAUCCCAUGGAGGGUCUCUAAUUUGCUGAGCUGGUCAUCAGGUGGGAUGUUGCAAGUUAGAAACAAGAAGAGCUGACAUUUUGUGCAUAUGAAAGAAGAUAGUGGACAGGCCCAUUGUCGUCGGCUUUGUCCGCCUUGGCGAACUGGAGACGGAAGCUAGAUUCACCUUCGACAGCCACGGGAGGACCGGGAGGACCUCCAGAGGAGGUUAGGUCGACCUCAUGGUAACUUUAGAUCCUGAAAACUCACAGGAUUUUUCUUGUCUUCCCUUUGAUCUCUCUUCCGCCUACUCAACAGGACAGGACUCACCGCCUUUCUUUCCCGUCAGAAAGGGAUCCCUUCCGGACAGGACAGAAGUGAGCAGAUGGUUUCCCCUACGUGUCUUUCCGGGCCUGGGCGUCUCAG